UAGGCCAAGUCGGUUAGCUAA
ensembl:piRNA 21ur-5122 ncRNA